rnacentral:rRNA from 1 species
CCUACGGGUGGCUGCAGUGGGGAAUAUUGCACAAUGGGGGAAACCCUGAUGCAGCGACGCCGCGUGAGUGAAGAAGGAAUUCGGGAUGGAAAGCUCUAUCAGCAGGGAAGAAAAGGACGGUACCUGAGUAAGAAGCCCCGGCGAACUACGGGCCAGCAGCCGCGGUAAUACGUAGGGGGCAAGCGUUAUCCGGAUUUACUGGGUGUAAAGGGAGCGUAGACGGCCGGGCACGUCUGGAGUGAAGGGCGGGGGCUCAACCCCCGGACUGCUCGGGAAACUGUCCGGCUGGAGUGCAGGAGAGGUCAGUGGCAUUCCUCGUGUAGCGGUGAUCUUCGUAGAUAUUAGGCGGCACCCCAGUUGCGAAGGCGGCUUACUGGACUGUACCUGCCGUUGCGGCUCGACAGCGUGGGGAGCAAACAGGAUUCGCUACCCGUGUAGUC